UGCCAGCCGCCGCGGUAAUACGGAGGGGGCAAGCGUUGUUCGGAAUUACUGGGCGUAAAGGGCGUGUAGGCGGUUCGUUAAGUUAGGCGUGAAAGCCCCGGGCUCAACCUGGGAACUGCGCUUGAUACUGGCGGACUUGAGAUCGGGAGAGGGUAGUGGAAUUUCCAGUGUAGAGGUGAAAUUCGUAGAUAUUGGAAAGAACACCAGUGGCGAAGGCGGCUACCUGGCCCGUAUCUGACGCUGAGGUGCGAAAGCCAGGGUAGCGAACGGGAUUAGAUA
rnacentral:rRNA from 1 species